UACGAAGGGGGCUAGCGUUGCUCGGAAUCACUGGGCGUAAAGGGUGCGUAGGCGGGUCUUUAAGUCAGGGGUGAAAUCCUGGAGCUCAACUCCAGAACUGCCUUCGAUACUGGAAGACUCGAGUCCGGGAGAGGUGAGUGGAACUGCGAGUGUAGAGGUGAAAUUCGUAGAUAUUCGGAAGAACACCAGUGGCGAAGGCGGCCAACUGGUCCGGCACUGACGCUGAGGUGCGAAAGCGUGGGGAGCAAACAGG
rnacentral:rRNA from 1 species